rnacentral:rRNA from 1 species
GCGCACCUUCGGGUGAGCGGCGGACGGGUUAGUAACGCGUGGGAACGUGCCCUUCUCUAAGGAAUAGCCACUGGAAACGGUGAGUAAUACCUUAUACGCCCUUCGGGGGAAAGAUUUAUCGGAGAAGGAUCGGCCCGCGUUAGAUUAGAUAGUUGGUGGGGUAACGGCCUACCAAGUCUACGAUCUAUAGCUGGUUUUAGAGGAUGAUCAGCAACACUGGGACUGAGACACGGCCCAGACUCCUACGGGAGGCAGCAGUGGGGAAUCUUGGACAAUGGGCGCAAGCCUGAUCCAGCCAUGCCGCGUGAGUGAAGAAGGUCUUAGGAUCGUAAAGCUCUUUCGCCAGAGAUGAUAAUGACAGUAUCUGGUAAAGAAACCCCGGCUAACUCCGUGCCAGCAGCCGCGGUAAUACGGAGGGGGUUAGCGUUGUUCGGAAUUACUGGGCGUAAAGCGCGCGUAGGCGGAUUGGAAAGUUGGGGGUGAAAUCCCGGGGCUCAACCCCGGAACUGCCUCCAAAACUCCCAGUCUUGAGUUCGAGAGAGGUGAGUGGAACUCCGAGUGUAGAGGUGAAAUUCGUAGAUAUUCGGAAGAACACCAGUGGCGAAGGCGGCUCACUGGCUCGAUACUGACG